AUACUUACCUGGCCAGGAGAUACCGUGAUCAUGAAAGGGGGUUUCCAAGGGGGCUCACCAUUGCACUCCCGGGGGCGGACCCUUUCGAUUAACCCCAAAUGUGGUUUAAUCGAGUGCGCAAUUUUGUUAGGGGGGGGCGGUUCGCGCUAUCCCCCU